CUGCGGCCCCGCCCCCUCCCGAGUCCGCCCGCGCUGUCCUUGACGCGGCGCCCUCUGCGGGCCGGGGGUUUCAGAGGCGCCGGUGCGAGAGCCUUGAAGUCUCAGAGAGGCUGCAGGGAACGUGGUGGAAGAGUGGAAAGGGGGCCCGGCUAGGCUGUGGGGUGAUGGGACCCUUGGGUGGCAGAGAGGCUGACGAGAUCCAGGUGACGAAGGAAGAGCUUGUGAUGGGGCUGGUUGGGCUUCCCUGGUCUCUGCUCCCGAAUUACUUCUGAAACAGGCUGCUCUGAACUCUCAGAUCGCCACUGGCCUCCCCAUCACUCUCCCUCCCCUUCUCUUGAUUUAUUCAUUUUUGGAGGAUGAAGCACUCUUGAAAUUAUAAAUGAAUUCAUGUUUGUUUGUUUUACUACAUGUCAGCCCCACUAGAAUCUAAGCUCCAAGAGGAUACUGACUAUGUCCCAUUUCUGCUAGAGAACAGUGCCUGAUAUGUAAUGGGUAUUGAAGAAAUAAUCAUGGACUGGAUGAUUGACCUAAAAGGGAACAACCAGAGGAAAAAAGGAAAACAGAGAGAAUAGUAAUAUGCCUGGUGCCCAGGAAGGUGGGGGUGUCAGAGAGAGGAUCCAAGGGCAUCAGGGCCCCAAGACUCAGGGUCAGGGAUCCAUUUACUCCCCCAUCAGAGCUGGGUCCCUACAGAGUUCUGGUCUCUGCGAUGGGUGAAGGCUGCUGGGAGGUUGGCAUCAAAGGGGGGUAUCAGGGACUAUCUUCUACUACUCUGAAUGGCAAUUAUAUAUUUUUUAAGUUUUCGUAGCUUAUUGAUCCUCUGGUGAAAAAUCUUCACCAUUGCUGCAGAUAAAGCCAUUCCUGUUUGCCAGCACCAGCACCACACUCUUGUGACUCCCUGGCUGUCGUCAUUCUGUUCUUG
rnacentral:lncRNA from 10 species